UGGGGGAUAUUGGACAAUGGGGGGAACCCUGAUCCAGCGACGCCGCGUGAGUGAAGAAGUAUUUCGGUAUGUAAAGCUCUGUCAGCAGGGAAGAAGGAAAUGACGGUACCUGACCAAGAAGCCCCGGCUAACUACGUGCCAGCAGCCGCGGUAAUACGUAGGGGGCAAGCGUUAUCCGGAAUUACUGGGUGUAAAGGGAGCGCAGACGGCAAAGCAAGCCUGGAGUGAAAGGCGGGGGCCCAACCCCCGGACUGCUCUGGGAACUGCUUGGCUGGAGUGCAGGAGAGGCAGGCGGAAUUCCUAGUGUAGCGGUGAAAUGCGUAGAUAUUAGGAGGAACACCAGUGGCGAAGGCGGCCUGCUGGACUGUAACUGACGUUGAGGCUCGAAAGCGUGGGGAGCAAACAGG
rnacentral:rRNA from 1 species